UAGUGGUACUUAUUGAUCAUC
rnacentral:siRNA from 1 species